AAGGGCACCACAAGAACGCGUGGAUCAUGUGGCUUAAUUUGACUCAACGCGGGAAAUCUUACCGGGUCCGGACACACUGAGGAUUGACAGGUUCCGAGAGAUUUUUGCAUUUGCAAAUUCUCUCUUAAAUAUGCUAGUCCUUUCAUGAUUAUGUGAUAGGUGGUGCAUGGCCGUUCUUAGUUCGUGGAGUGAUCUGUCUGCUUAAUUGCGUUUCACUAAAGGCGUCAUAUCAUUUUUGUGCUUGUGUUUGACCCCUCUUUUCGGAGAGCGCGUGUCUUCACACACAAUUACCUUGGCGUCUGAAAGCAACGAACGUGACCGUAACCUCUUGUUGCCUUCUUUUCUUUAUUGAAUGCUGUUUCAUUCUCUUUUGGGAGUGCUCAGUAUAUGGAGGCUUUUUUCACCAACAACUAGAGGGACCGCUGUUACUUUCUUUAAACCAGAGGAAGGUUGCGGCAAUAACAGGUCUGUGAUGCCCUUAGAUGUUCCGGGCUGCACACGUGAUACAUUGAUUACUUCAGUGAGUAUCUACGUUUUAACUGCGUGGCUUUACAAAUUUUUAUUUUCUUCGGAAGGUAAUUUUUUGUUUGCCGCCUCAACCUGCUUCGAAAGUAUGUGGGUAACCAAUUAGAAGUAGUGAUUUCCUUUUUUUUAUAAGCACACUUAUAUGGAGCAUCAUCACCCGGCAUACCUUGUUGUAUGUUUUUGUGUGUGUUGUUUGCUUUUCCAUGUGCUUUUGUCAAUUCAUAGUGGGGACAGACCAUUGUUAAUUGUUGGUCUCGGUCUUAACUAGGAAUGCCUUGUACGAGUUUUUGGUUCAACAAACCACUCGGAAUACGUCCCUGCCCUUUGUACACACCGCCCGUCGCUCUUACCGAUGGAUUAUAUUAUGAGUAGGCAGGACUGUUUCUUCUAUAGGAAAUGCCCGCGAGUAAUGUGAUCUAAAGGAAAGAGAAGUCGUAACAAGGCAUCNGUAGGUGAACCU
rnacentral:rRNA from 1 species